CAGCGCCACGAGUGGCAACCAUAGUUAUUGGGCCUAAAGCGUCCGUAGCCGGUUGUGUAAAUUUUCUGUGAAAUCGUUAAGCUUAACUUAACGGACUGCAGAAAAGACUACACAACUUGGGACCGGAAGGAGUCAGAAGUAUUUCUGGGGGAGCGGUAAAAUGUUAUAAUCCCAGAAAGACUACCUGUGGCGAAGGCGUCUGACUAGUACGGAUCCGACGGUGAGGGACGAAAGCUAGGGGAGCAAUCCGGAUUAGAUACCCGAGUAGUCC
rnacentral:rRNA from 1 species